AGGACGAACGCUGGCGGCGCGCCUAACACAUGCAAGUCGAGCGAUAACCAGGGGCUUGCCCUUGGGGACAGCGGCGAACGGGUGCGUAACACGUGAGCAACCUGCCCCGAAGACCGGGACAACCCGAGGAAACUCGGACUAAUACCGGAUGUCCUCACCGGAUCGCAUGGUCUGGUGAGGAAAUGGAUUCCGCUUCGGGAUGGGCUCGCGGUCUAUCAGCUUGUUGGUGGGGUAACGGCCUACCAAGGCGACGACGGAUAGCUGGUCUGAGAGGACGAUCAGCCACACUGGGACUGAGACACGGCCCAGACUCCUACGGGAGGCAGCAGUGGGGAAUCUUGCGCAAUGGGGGAACCUGACGCAGCGACGCCGCGUGCGGGAUGAAGGCCUUCGGGUUGUAAACCGCUUUCAGCAGGGACGAAAUUGACGGUACCUGCAGAAGAAGGCCCGGCCAACUACGUGCCAGCAGCCGC
rnacentral:rRNA from 1 species